rnacentral:rRNA from 1 species
CCUACGUGAGUCAGCAGUGAGGAAUAUUGGUCAAUGGGCGCGAGCCUGAACCAGCCAAGUAGCGUGAAGGAUGACUGCCCUACGGGUUGUAAACUUCUUUUAUAAAGGAAUAAAGUGAGGCACGUGUGCCUUUUUGUAUGUACUUUAUGAAUAAGGAUCGGCUAACUCCGUGCCAGCAGCCGCGGUAAUACGGAGGAUCCGAGCGUUAUCCGGAUUUAUUUGGUUUAAAGGGCGCGUAGUUGGGUUGUUAAGUCAGUUGUGAAAGUUUGCGGCUCAACCGUAAAAUUGCAAUUGAUACUGGCAGGCUUGAGUACAGUUGAGGUAGGCGGAAUUCGUGGUGUAGCGGUGAAAUGCUUAGAUAUCACGAAGAACGCCGAUUGCGAAGGCAGCUUACUAAACUGCCACUGACAUUGAUGCUCGAAAGUGUGGGUAUCAAACAGGAUUAGAGACCCUUGUAGUC